rnacentral:rRNA from 1 species
CCUGCCAGAGGCGACCGCUUUUGGAGUUCGAUUAAGCCAUGCGAGUAGAAUGAAUUAGAUUCAUUGCAAACUGCUCAGUAACACGUGGAUAACCUGCCCUAUGCUCUGGGAUAACCUCGGGAAACUGAGAAUAAUACCGGAUAGAUCACAACGCCUGGAACGGUGUGUGGUUCAAAGGUUACGGCAUAGGACGGGUCUGCGGCGUAUCAGGUCGUAGGGGGUGUAAUGAACCCCCUAGCCAUCGACGCGUACGGGUGUUGGGAGACAUAGCCCAGAGACGGAUUCUGAGACACGAAUCCGGACCCUACGGGGUGCAGCAGGCGCGAAAACUUCACACUGCAGGAAACUGUGAUGAGGGAACUCCAAGUGGAUGCACAUAGUGUAUCUCUUUUCCUUACUAUUAAUCGGUAGGGGAAUAAGGGCUGGGAAAGACCGGUGCCAGCCGCCGCGGUAAUACCGGCAGCUCGAGUGGUCGUCGCUUUUAUUGGGCCUAAAACGUCCGUAGCCGGUUUGGUAAAUCUGUGGGUAAAUCAACUAGCUUAACUAGUUGAAUUCUGCAGAGACUGCCAGACUAGGAACCGGGAGAGGUGUGGGGUACUCAAGGGGUAGGGGUAAAAUCCUGUCAUCCUUUGGAGACCACCAGUUGCGAAGGCGCCACACUGGAACGGAUUCGACGGUCAGGGACGAAGCCUAGGGGCACGAACCGGAUUAGAUACCCGGGUAGUCCUAGGUGUAAACGCUGUGAACUUGGUGUCGGGAGUCCGCAAUGGGCCCCCGGUGCCGGAGUGAAGAUGUUAAGUUCACUGCCUGGGGAGUACGGUCGCAAGGCUGAAACUUAAAGGAAUUGGCGGGGGAGCACUGCAAC